UCAUCUUCGGGGGUAGAGCACUGUUUCGGCUAGGGGGUCAUCCCGACUUACCAACCCGAUGCAAACUGCGAAUACCGAAGAAUGUUAUCACGGGAGACACACGGCGGGUGCUAACGUCCGUCGUGAAGAGGGAAACAACCCAGACCGCCAGCUAAGGUCCCAAAGUCAUGGUUAAGUGGGAAACGAUGUGGGAAGGCACAGACAGCCAGGAUGUUGGCUUAGAAGCAGCCAUCAUUUAAAGAAAGCGUAAUAGCUCACUGGUCGAGUCGGCCUGCGCGGAAGAUGUAACGGGGCUAAACCAUGCACCGAAGCUGCGGCAGCGACACUAUGUGUUGUUGGGUAGGGGAGCGUUCUGUAAGCCGUUGAAGGUGUAUCGUGAGGUAUGCUGGAGGUAUCAGAAGUGCGAAUGCUGACAUAAGUAACGAUAAUGCGGGUGAAAAACCCGCACGCCGGAAGACCAAGGGUUCCUGUCCAACGUUAAUCGGGGCAGGGUGAGUCGACCCCUAAGGCGAGGCCGAAAGGCGUAGUCGAUGGGAAACAGGUUAAUAUUCCUGUACUUGGUGUUACUGCGAAGGGGGGACGGAGAAGGCUAUGUUAGCCGGGCGACGGUUGUCCCGGUUUAAGCAUGUAGGCGGAGGUUCCAGGUAAAUCCGGUACCUUUUUAACGCUGAGGUGUGAUGACGAGGCACUACGGUGCUGAAGUAACAAAUGCCCUGCUUCCAGGAAAAGCCUCUAAGCAUCAGGUAACACGAAAUCGUACCCCAAACCGACACAGGUGGUCAGGUAGAGAAUACCAAGGCGCUUGAGAGAACUCGGGUGAAGGAACUAGGCAAAAUGGUGCCGUAACUUCGGGAGAAGGCACGCUGAUAUGUAGGUGAAGUGAUUUACUCAUGGAGCUGAAAUCAGUCGAAGAUACCAGCUGGCUGCAACUGUUUAUUAAAAACACAGCACUGUGCAAACACGAAAGUGGACGUAUACGGUGUGACGCCUGCCCGGUGCCGGAAGGUUAAUUGAUGGGGUUAUCCGUAAGGAGAAGCUCUUGAUCGAAGCCCCGGUAAACGGCGGCCGUAACUAUAACGGUCCUAAGGUAGCGAAAUUCCUUGUCGGGUAAGUUCCGACCUGCACGAAUGGCGUAAUGAUGGCCAGGCUGUCUCCACCCGAGACUCAGUGAAAUUGAACUCGCUGUGAAGAUGCAGUGUACCCGCGGCAAGACGGAAAGACCCCGUGAACCUUUACUAUAGCUUGACACUGAACACUGGUCCUUGAUGUGUAGGAUAGGUGGGAGGCUUUGAAGUGUGGACGCCAGUCUGCAUGGAGCCAUCCUUGAAAUACCACCCUUUAAUGGCUGGUGUUCUAACGUGGACCCGUAAUCCGGGUUGCGGACAGUGUCUGGUGGGUAGUUUGACUGGGGCGGUCUCCUCCUAAAGAGUAACGGAGGAGCACGAAGGUUAGCUAAUCCUGGUCGGACAUCAGGAGGUUAGUGCAAAGGCAUAAGCUAGCUUGACUGCGAGAGUGACGGCUCGAGCAGGUGCGAAAGCAGGUCUUAGUGAUCCGGUGGUUCUGAAUGGAAGGGCCAUCGCUCAACGGAUAAAAGGUACUCCGGGGAUAACAGGCUGAUACCGCCCAAGAGUUCAUAUCGACGGCGGUGUUUGGCACCUCGAUGUCGGCUCAUCACAUCCUGGGGCUGAAGUAGGUCCCAAGGGUAUGGCUGUUCGCCAUUUAAAGUGGUACGCGAGCUGGGUUUAGAACGUCGUGAGACAGUUCGGUCCCUAUCUGCCGUGGGCGCUGGAGAAUUGAGGGGGGCUGCUCCUAGUACGAGAGGACCGGAGUGGACGCAUCACUGGUGUUCGGGUUGUCAUGCCAAUGGCAUUGCCCGGUAGCUAAAUGCGGAAGAGAUAAGUGCUGAAAGCAUCUAAGCACGAAACUUGCCCCGAGAUGAGUUCUCCCUGAGACUUUAAGUCUCCUGAAGGAACGUUGAAGACGACGACGUUGAUAGGUCGGGUGUGUAAGUGUAGCGAUACAUUGAGCUAACCGAUACUAAUGAACCGUGAGGCUUAACCUU
rnacentral:rRNA from 1 species